UACGGGGGGAGCAAUCGUUGUUCGGAUUUACUGGGCGUAAAGGGCGCGUAGGCGGCGCAACAAGUCACUUGUGAAAUCUCCGGGCUUAACCCGGAGCGGCCAAGUGAUACUGUCGUGCUAGAGUGCGGAAGGGGCUACUGGAAUUCUCGGUGUAGCGGUGAAAUGCGUAGAUAUCGAGAGGAACACCUGCGGCGAAGGCGGUGGUCUGGGCCAAAACUGACGCUGAGGAGCGAAAGCCAGGGGAGCAAACGGG
rnacentral:rRNA from 1 species